CCUACGGGUGGCAGCAGUGAGGAAUAUUGGUCAAUGGACGAGAGCCUGAACCAGCCAAGUAGCGUGAAGGAUGAAGGAUCUAUGGGUUGUAAACUUCUUUUAUAUGGGAAUAAAGUGAGGUACGUGUUCCGUUUUGUAUGUACCAUAUGAAUAAGCAUCGGCUAACUCCGUGCCAGCAGCCGCGGUAAUACGGAGGAUGCGAGCGUUAUCCGGAUUUAUUGGGUUUAAAGGGAGCGUAGGUGGUCAAUUAAGUCAGCGGUGAAAGUUUGUGGCUCAACCAUAAAAUUGCCGUUGAAACUGGUUGACUUGAGUGUAUCUGAGGUAGGCGGAAUGCGUGGUGUAGCGGUGAAAUGCUUAGAUAUCACGAAGAACUCCGAUUGCGAAGGCAGCUUACUGGACUAUAACUGACGCUGAAGCACGAAAGUGUGGGUAUCAAACAGGAUUAGAUACCCGAGUAGUC
rnacentral:rRNA from 1 species